CGACCGGCGCACGGGUGAGUAACACGUAUGCAAUCCACCUGUAACAGGGGGAUAACCCGGAGAAAUCCGGACUAAUACCCCAUAAUAUGGGCGCUCCGCAUGGAGAGUUCGUUAAAGAGAGCAAUUUUGGUUACAGACGAGCAUGCGCUCCAUUAGCCAGUUGGCGGGGUAACGGCCCACCAAGGCGACGAUGGAUAGGGGUUCUGAGAGGAAGGUCCCCCACAUUGGAACUGAGACACGGUCCAA
rnacentral:rRNA from 1 species